UCAGGUAGUCCAGUUCACACCAACUAUUAAUGAUAGAAACAUCUCUCCAGUCAGGUAGUCCAGUUCACACCAACUAUUAAUGAUAGAAACAUCUCUCCAUCUCUCCAGUCAGGUAGUCCAGUUCACACCAACUAUUAAUGAUAGAAACAUCUCUCCAUCUCUCCAGUCAGGUAGUCCAGUUCACACCAACUAUUAAUGAUAGAAACAUCUCUCCAUCUCUCCAGUCAGGUAGUCCAGUUCACACCAACUAUUAAUGAUAGAAACAUCUCUCCAUCUCUCCAGUCAGGUAGUCCAGUUCACACCAACUAUUAAUGAUAGAAACAUCUCUCCAUCUCUCCAGUCAGGUAGUCCAGUUCACACCAACUAUUAAUGAUAGAAACAUCUCUCCAUCUCUCCAGUCAGGUAGUCCAGUUCACACCAACUAUUAAUGAUAGAAACAUCUCUCCUGUCAGGUAGUCCAGUUCACACCAACUAUUAAUGAUAGAAACAUCUCCCCAGUCAGGUAGUCCAGUUCACACCAACUAUUAAUGAUAGAAACAUCUCUCCAUCUCUCCUGUCAGGUAGUCCAGUUCACACCAACUAUUAAUGAUAGAAACAUCUCUCCAGUCAGGUAGUCCAGUUCACACCAACUAUUAAUGAUAGAAACAUCUCUCCAUCUCUCCAGUCAGGUAGUCCAGUUCACACCAACUAUUAAUGAUAGAAACAUCUCUCCAGUCAGGUAGUCCAGUUCACACCAACUAUUAAUGAUAGAAACAUCUCUCCAGUCAGGUAGUCCAGUUCACACCAACUAUUAAUGAUAGAAACAUCUCUCCAUCUCUCCAGUCAGGUAGUCCAGUUCACACCAACUAUUAAUGAUAGAAACAUCUCUCCAGUCAGGUAGUCCAGUUCACACCAACUAUUAAUGAUAGAAACAUCUCUCCAGUCAGGUAGUCCAGUUCACACCAACUAUUAAUGAUAGAAACAUCUCUCC